GUGGGGAAUAUUGCACAAUGGGCGCAAGCCUGAUGCAGCCAUGCCGCGUGUGUGAAGAAGGCCUUCGGGUUGUAAAGCACUUUCAGCGGGGAGGAAGGCAUUAAGGUUAAUAACCUUAGUGAUUGACGUUACCCGCAGAAGAAGCACCGGCUAACUCCGUGCCAGCAGCCGCGGUAAUACGGAGGGUGCAAGCGUUAAUCGGAAUUACUGGGCGUAAAGCGCACGCAGGCGGUCUGUCAAGUCGGAUGUGAAAUCCCCGGGCUCAACCUGGGAACUGCAUUCGAAACUGGCAGGCUAGAGUCUUGUAGAGGGGGGUAGAAUUCCAGGUGUAGCGGUGAAAUGCGUAGAGAUCUGGAGGAAUACCGGUGGCGAAGGCGGCCACCUGGACAGGUACUGACGCUGAGGCGCGAAAGCGUGGGGAGCAAACAGGAUUAGAUACCCGAGUAGUCC
rnacentral:rRNA from 1 species